GGAUAGUCGGGUUCGGUAACAGGCGGGCAGCGAGGUAACAAGGCAUAGGCAGGAGCAAGGUCAGAUGGGAAGCCAGGAUCAGGAACCAGUAAUCAGAGUAAUCAGAGUCCAAAAGCAGGGUCA